ensembl:lncRNA
GGAAUAAUUUGAAAUCUCAUUGCGUAGACAUGUUUCAGUGGUUUCUACACACUAGAACUAGAAGAUGCUCUGUGAAUCUCUCCUGUAAAGUUAUAAGUGCUGUGAAAUCUCAGCAGCGCGGCUAAAGAGCUCUCUUUCAAAAUGAGCCCAAAAAAGAGACACUUGACAGAACAUUAGCGCAUGAUGAUGAUACUUUCAUUACCUGAAGACAUGUUGGACUGACUAGCGACUAAAAAUCGCACUUUUACCUCAGUUUUGAAUGCUAUGAAUAAUGGACUCUGAUCUAGUGUUAUUUAGGCAAUUUUAAAACAUUAAGCUUUUCUGAUUUUUGCAAAUGCACAGCGGCCAAAUCUUUGACUUUCCAUCAAAGUUAUGUACCCCUUAAGCCCGCUGGUAUGCCUAACAUUUAUUAUCCUUCCAUCUUUUUUUUCCCCACGUGGAGAACAACAAUGAGGGAGCAAGUACCAAUGUUAACGUUAGAAAAUCAGCUUAUACUGAUCUGUUCCACGCUGCAUCUAUGUAAAGGUUCCCCAAAAGUCCAGCAUCUUUCCUCCGACCCCUGACCCGACCACAGAUCAUAGGCCAGUGACUCUUUAAAAGACAAUCACUUGCUCAUUAAGGCUUGAUGCACUACAAAGCAUCUCUCAGGGAGCAGCUCUUUUUCAGAUUUUGCAUUAAGAGGGUUUAAUAUUUUUGCAAAUUUACAAAAAAAAAGAUUAAUUAUAAAAGAAUAACUUUUUAGGAUUAAAAAAAAAGGCAUACGCCACCAGUGUAUGCCAGAAAUGAAAUCUGCCCAGACAAGGCUUUGACAGAUGUAUGUCUGUGUGUAUGUGUGUGUACAGAGCAUGAAUUCACUGUCCAAAUAUCUUUAGACUCCAGAUUAUAUAGCAAAAAUCAUAAUAACAUAGCACUAAAAAAACAACAACUUGUAUAUCAGUGUGCUCUUUUCACCACUGUACGCUCAUGUUUACUGAUUCUUUUUGCUGCUUUUGGGACAGUGAGGGAAGUCCAGUAGUAAGCUGUGACACAAGCGCCAUCACAACACCGCAGGGACAGUGAAUUCCAACUCUGACUAUGAAGUUUUUGUGUGUGACGUUUUUAUUAUCCCUUGUUAGACUGUGAAUCAGAGGGCUGGGAUGGGGCUGUAAGGGGAGGUGGGGUGGGGAUGUGCCGGCAAGAACGAGUGGCAACGCAACACUGUAAGUAAGAUACUGUAGCAAUAAGAAGUGGAGGCAUUUACUACUGUCAUGUUUGCAUUGUAAGAUUAUUUUUUAUUUUAUUACUAUUUACUAUUAUUAUUGUUCUUAUUAUGACUACUAUUCUUCUAUUACUAUUAGCCUAUUGUUGUUCUGUUCUAUUUGCAUGAUGUUUCAGAGCAAUGAAACAUUUGGGGCUUAUUGUGUUUUCUCUUCUCAUGAUAAUGUGGGUUUCGUGGGAGAGGAUUUUUUCUUUUGUUUUGGUUUUUUUUGGCAGGGUGGGGAAUGGGUUGUGGGCAAAUUCCACAUCAAUUUAGUCGGUUCAAAGCAAUUUUUUCACAUACUGAAAGGAUUUUUAAAUAAAUGCUCUAAUUUAUACGUGACCAAUUUUAAUUUGUUGCUGGAUUUGAAAUGUUUUGGGGAGUUUUUUGUUCUCAACCUCUGAAUGUGUGCGUUGAACGGCCCUUUCUGAACUGGCCUUACUGAAUCGGAUAACCCUUGAACCUGCUGUGGGAGAAUAAUCGAUUCUGAAUGUUAUGGAGUAGUUUGUUCAGUGUGAGGGGCUGAACGCAUCAUGCGCCUUUACCACUCCAUCAACACAGAAUGACAUCACGGAGCGCACAAACGAGCAGUCGUCGGCUCUUCGACGUGACUCGGACAAAUUGCGCAGACAAUUUUUUAAAACAUGCUGAGUUUGAAAUGUUUCCUACACUUAGUCGAACACAAUCCAAACCUUCUUCUCCCUUUCCUGAGAAAAAGCUGUGUGCGCGUGAAUGUGUGCGUGUGAGGAAGAAAACGAGAUGUGAGAUGACGUUCUGCUCUACCAAUGCUUUGUAAACUUUCUUGAUGCAUUACACAUUUGUGCAAUUGGAGUAGUGUUGAAAAUUUGUUAAUUUAUUGUUUAGAAUGUCUUUGCAUCCCAGCAAGAGCAAAUAAAACAAAAUGUAGCAAUCUGUAACCAAAACCUAAAAGGUACUUAGGCUACAGAACCUCUUUUACACAGGACUAACAAAACAACAACAACAAGGACAAAAACAGAAAAAAUACAAAAAAAAAGAGACAUUUGUUUGUUUUCAAAGUGCCAUAGCUAGUGAGGAGUGGAAGGAUUGGCAGAGUGGGGCGUAGAUGCUUUACGGUGUGAGUUUACUUGAGAAACCAAUCAAAAAAGGGGAACUCUGAGGAAAAACCUGUAUGUGAUUACGCUGAUGAACCGUUUUUACAUUUUAUGCUUUUUCAUUUGGUGAGGACUCUGCUUGACUCUGAACUCUGACUCUGCCAUAAAUCCACGAGCUCUACUGUCCAACGCUUCAUUUUCAGACGAGAACGAAAGAGUGACUGUGUGUGUAAAAGCAUGCAUCUGCAAUAAAGUGAGUCACGCCCAUAAACGAUGGAUCAGACUGGGUCGAAGUUCAGAGCCAUGCAGGGGCCUUAGUGAGUUCUCCUUUGAGAUGUAUAUACAAUGUGAAGGUCUGAAGUGAUUUUUUUUUGUUAAAUUCUAUAUUUUAUCGCUUUUGUAGACAUUUUGUUGUGGGAAGAAAAAAAAUAAAAAGAAAUUUUAUGGGUG